rnacentral:misc_RNA from 1 species
AACAAGGCGUACCUGCGGACCUGCGGAAGGAUCAUUACCGAGUUUACAACUCCCAAACCCAUGUGAACAUACCUAUCGUUGCUUCGGCGGGAUCGCCCCGGGCGCCUCGUGUGCCCCGGAUCCGGCGCCCGCCUAGGAACCUUAACUCUUGUUUUAUUUUGGAAUCUUCUGAGUAGUUUUUACAAAUAAAUAAAAACUUUCAGCAACGGAUCU